rnacentral:rRNA from 1 species
UACAUAGGGUGCAAGCGUUGUCCGGAAUUAUUGGGCGUAAAGAGCUCGUAGGUCGUUUGUUACGUCGGAUGUGAAAACCUGAGGCUCAACCUCAGGCCUGCAUUCGAUACGGGCAAACUAGAGUUUGGUAGGGGAGACUGGAAUUCCUGGUGUAGCGGUGGAAUGCGCAGAUAUCAGGAGGAACACCAAUGGCGAAGGCAGGUCUCUGGGCCAAUACUGACACUGAGGAGCGAAAGUCUGGGGAGCGAACAGGAUUAGAUACCCUGGUAGUCCAGACCGUAAACGGUGGGCACUAGUUGUGGGAACCUUCCACGGUUUCUGCGACGCAGCUAACGCAUUAAGUGCCCCGCCUGGGGAGUACGAUCGCAAGAUUA